rnacentral:rRNA from 1 species
CCCCCCCCCAUAAGAGGUCCAGCCUGCCCAGUGACCCUGUUCAACGGCCGCAGUAUCUUAACCGCGCGAAGGUAGCGUAAUCACUUGUUUUCUAAAUAAAGACUAGUAUGAAAGGCAUCACGAGAAUUAAACUGUCUCCUUUUUCCAAUCAGUGAACCUAAUCUCUCCGUGAAGAAGCGGAGAUUUUAACAUAAGACGAGAAGACCCUGUGGAGCUUAAAACACCUUUAUCACCUGCUCACACAUCUUUCCCACUCAGGUAACUCAUGUACUAGCACCUUGAUUAAAUGUUUUAGGUUGGGGUGACCACGGAGAAAAACCCAACCUCCGUAAUGAAAAGAGGAAUUUUCCUAUCCCCUAAACUGUAAGCUACAGCUUUAAGUAUCAAAAAAUUGACACCAUCGACCCAAUUAUUGAUCAAUGAACCAAGUUACCCCAGGGAUAACAGCACAAUCCACUUUAAGAGCCCCUAUCGACAAGUGGGCUUAUGACCUCGAUGUUGGAUCGGGGUAUCCCGGUGGUGCAGCCGCUACUAAUGGUUCGNUUGKUCMACGAWUAAAAMCCC